AGCUCUUGUAGACACAUAUGAUGUGAGUGAACAUUUUUCAUAUUGGCUUACUCUUCAUUGCGGAUGGGACCUACUUGCCUUAACUUUUUGUUCUCUUGCAAUCACAUAUGCGCAAACAAGCAUAUUUCACUCUUAGAGUCCUAUUUUGUAGCUGAAAAAAUUAAUUUUGAUACAUGUAACUUCAAAUGCCGAAAAGACAGAAGUCAUGAGGAAAGAGAAGCUCAAUUGUAA
rnacentral:misc_RNA from 1 species